GGCACCUGAUCCAGCAUACCGCGUGUGUGAAGAAGGCCUUCGGGUUGUAAAGCACUUUCAGCGAGGAGGAAAAGCUAGUAGUUAAUACCUGCUGGCCUUGACGUUACUCGCAGAAGAAGCACCGGCUAACUCCGUGCCAGCAGCCGCGGUAAUACGGAGGGUGCAAGCGUUAAUCGGAAUUACUGGGCGUAAAGCGCGCGUAGGCGGAUGAUUAAGUCAGAUGUGAAAGCCCAGGGCUUAACCUUGGAACUGCAUUUGAUACUGGUCAUCUAGAGUACAGAAGAGGGGGGUGGAAUUCCAGGUGUAGCGGUGAAAUGCGUAGAUAUCUGGAGGAACAUCAGUGGCGAAGGCGACCCCCUGGUCUGAUACUGACGCUGAGGUGCGAAAGCGUGGGUAGCGAACAGGAUUAGAUACCCUGGUAGUCCACGCCGUAAACGAUGUCUAUUAGCUGUUGGGUAUAUUAAGAUACUUAGUGGCGCAGCUAACGCUUUAAAUAGACCGCCUGGGGAGUACGGCCGCAAGGUUAAAACUCAAA
rnacentral:rRNA from 1 species